rnacentral:rRNA from 1 species
AACGAACGCUGGCGGCAUGCCUAACACAUGCUACUCGAACGAGACCUUCGGGUCUAGUGGCGCACGGGUGCGUAACGCGUGGGAACCUGCCCUUAGGUUCGGAAUAACUCCCCGAAAGGGGUGCUAAUAUCGGAUAAUGUCUUCGGACCAAAGAUUUAUCGCCUUUGGAUGGGCUCGCGUUGGAUUAGCUAGUUGGUAGGGUAAAAGCCUACCAAGGCGACGAUCCAUAGCUGGUAUGAGAGGAUGAUCAGCCACACUGGGACUGAGACACGGCCCAGACUACUACGGGAGGAAGGAGUGGGGAAUAUUGGAAAAGGGGAGAAAGGCUGAUCCAGAAAUGCCGCGUGAGUGAUGAAGGCCUUAGGGUUGUAAAGCUCUUUUACACGGGAUGAGAAUGACAGUACCGGGAGAAUAAGCUCCGGCUAAGUACGUG